rnacentral:rRNA from 1 species
AGUGAACGCUGGCGGUAGGCCUAACACAUGCAAGUCGAACGGCAGCACAGUAAGAGCUUGCUCUUACGGGUGGCGAGUGGCGGACGGGUGAGGAAUACAUCGGAAUCUACUUUUUCGUGGGGGAUAACGUAGGGAAACUUACGCUAAUACCGCAUACGACCUACGGGUGAAAGCAGGGGAUCUUCGGACCUUGCGCGAUUGAAUGAGCCGAUGCCGGAUUCGCUAGUUGGCGGGGUAAAGGCCCACCAAGGCGACGAUCCGUAGCUGGUCUGAGAGGAUGAUCAGCCACACUGGAACUGAGACACGGUCCAGACUCCUACGGGAGGCAGCAGUGGGGAAUAUUGGACAAUGGGCGCAAGCCUGAUCCAGCCAUACCGCGUGGGUGAAGAAGGCCUUCGGGUUGUAAAGCCCUUUUGUUGGGAAAGAAAAGCAGCAGGUUAAUACCCCGCUGUUCUGACGGUACCCAAAGAAUAAGCACCGGCUAACUUCGUG